AGCGAACGCUGGCGGCAGGCUUAACACAUGCAAGUCGAGCGGGCGUAGCAAUACGUCAGCGGCAGACGGGUGAGUAACGCGUGGGAACGUACCUUUUGGUUCGGAACAACACAGGGAAACUUGUGCUAAUACCGGAUAAGCCCUUACGGGGAAAGAUUUAUCGCCGAAAGAUCGGCCCGCGUCUGAUUAGCUAGUUGGUGAGGUAACGGCUCACCAAGGCGACGAUCAGUAGCUGGUCUGAGAGGAUGAUCAGCCACAUUGGGACUGAGACACGGCCCAAACUCCUACGGGAGGCAGCAGUGGGGAAUAUUGGACAAUGGGCGCAAGCCUGAUCCAGCCAUGCCGCGUGAGUGAUGAAGGCCCUAGGGUU
rnacentral:rRNA from 1 species